rnacentral:misc_RNA from 1 species
GAUGAAGAACGCAGCGAAAUGCGAUAAGUAAUGUGAAUUGCAGAAUUCAGUGAAUCAUCGAAUCUUUGAACGCACCUUGCACCCUUUGGCAUUCCGAAGGGUAUGCUCGUUUGAGUGUCAUUGUACUCUCACACUUCCGAUCUUUGGAUUGGGAGCGGUGGACUUGGGUGUUGCUGCUUACUGUGGCUCACCUCAAAUCGAUUCGUGCACCUCUUGGUUGGACAUAGUACGGCGUGAUAAGUGUCUUCGCCGGCACCUCAGUAGAGGGUGGCUGAUCGGGAGCUCUGUGCUUCAAACCGUCUUCGGACAACAACUGACAACUUGACCUCAAAUCGAGUAGGACCACCCGCUGAACUUAAGCAUAUCAAUAAGCGGAGGA